rnacentral:rRNA from 1 species
AGUGAACGCUGGCGGUGGGCCUAACACAUGCAAGUCGAACGGCAGCGCAGUAAGAGCUUGCUCUUACGGGUGGCGAGUGGCGGACGGGUGAGGAAUACAUCGGAAUCUACUUUUUCGUGGGGGAUAACGUAGGGAAACUUACGCUAAUACCGCAUACGACCUACGGGUGAAAGCAGGGGAUCUUCGGACCUUGCGCGAUUGAAUGAGCCGAUGUCGGAUUAGCUAGUUGGCGGGGUAAAGGCCCACCAAGGCGACGAUCCGUAGCUGGUCUGAGAGGAGGAUCAGCCACACUGGAACUGAGACACGGUCCAGACUCCUACGGGAGGCAGCAGUGGGGAAUAUUGGACAAUGGGCGCAAGCCUGAUCCAGCCAUACCGCGUGGGUGAAGAAGGCCUUCGGGUUGUAAAGCCCUUUUGUUGGGAAAGAAAGGCAGCAGGUUAAUACCCCGCUGUUCUGACGGUACCCAAAGAAUAAGCACCGGCUAACUUCGUG